UAGAUCAUACUAUGCAGAAUCAUUUCUGCAGUGUGUAUUUAACAGUCGCAACCAAAAUGCGACGCCUGUCCGCCGCGAUGAAAGGGAGACGGGCAAGUUGCGAGCGGG
rnacentral:snoRNA from 1 species